rnacentral:rRNA from 1 species
AGUGAACGCUGGCGGUAGGCUUAACACAUGCAAGUCGAACGGCAGCACAGUAAGAGUUUGCUCUUACGGGUGGCGAGAGGCGGAAGGGUGAGGAAUACAUCGGAAUCUACUUUUUCGUGGGGGAUAACGUAGGGAAACUUACGCUAAUACAGCAUACGACCUACGGGUGAAAGCAGGGGAUCUUCGGACCUUGUGCGGAUGAAUGAGCCGAUGUCGGAGUAGCUAGUUGGCGGGGUAAAGGCCCACCAAGGCGACGGUCCGUAGCUGGUGGGAGAGGAUGGUCAGCCACACUGGAACUGAGCCACGGUCCAGACUCCUGCGGGAGGCAGCAGUGGGGAAUAUUGGACAAUGGGCGCAAGCCUGAUCCAGCCAUACCGCGUGGGUGAAGAAGGCCUUCGGGUUGUGAAGCCCUUUUGUUGGGAAAGAAAAGCAGCAGGUUAAUACCCCGCUGUUCUGACGGUACCCAAAGAAGAAGCACCGGCUAACUUCGUG